rnacentral:rRNA from 1 species
AACGGGUCUUCGGAUGCUGACGAGUGGCGAACGGGUGAGUGAUACAUCGGAACGUGCCCAGUAAUGGGGGAUACCUCGGCGAAGGCCGGAUUAAUACCGCAUACGCCCUGAGGGGGAAAGUGGGGGAUCGCAAGACCUCACGUUAUUGGAGCGGCCGAUGGCUGAUUAGCUAUUUGGUAGGGUAAAGGCCUACCAAGGCCACGAUCACUACCUGGGCUGACAGGACGAUCAGCCACACUGGGACUGAAACACGGCCCAAACUCCUACGGGACGCAGCACUGGGGAAUUUUGGACAAUGGCGGAAACCCUGAUCCAGCAAUGCCGCGUGUGCGAACAAGGCCUUCGGGCUGUAAAGCAAUUUUGUCAGGGAAGAAAUCCUUUGGGCUAAUACCCUACGGGGAUGACGGUACCUGAAGUAAUAAGCACCGGCUAACUACGUGCCAUCUGCCGCGGUAAUACGAAGGCUGCAACGCGUUAAUCGGAAUUACUGGGCGUAAAUCGUGCGCAGGCGGCUGUGUAAGACAGGUGUGAAAUCCCCGGGCUAAACCUGGGGAAUUGCAUUGUGACUGCACGACUAGAGUGUGUCAGAGGGGGGUGGAAUUCCACGUGUAGCAGUGAAAUGCGUAGAUAUGUGGAGGAACACCAAUGGCGAAGGCAGCCCCCUGGGAUAACACUGACGCUCAUGCACGAAAGCGUGGGGAGCAAACAGGAUUAGAUACCUUGGUAGUCCACGCCCUAAACGAUGUCAACUAGUUGUUGGGGAUUUAUUUCCUUGGUAACGUAGCUAACGCGUGAAGUUGACCGCCUGGGGAGUACGGCCGCAAGGUUAAAACUCAAAGGAAUUGACGGGGACCCGCACAAGCGGUGGAUGAUGUGGAUUAAUUCGAUGCAACGCGAAAAACCUUACCUACCCUUGACAUGGCAGGAACUUUCCAGAGAUGGAUUGGUGCUCGAAAGAGAACCUGCACACAGGUGCUGCAUGGCUGUCGUCAGCUCGUGUCGUGAGAUGUUGGGUUAAGUCCCGCAACGAGCGCAACCCUUGUCAUUAGUUGCUACGAAAGGGCACUAUAAUGAGACUGCCGGUGACAAACCGGAGGAAGGUGGGGAUGACGUCAAGUCCUCAUGGCCCUUAUGGGUAGGGCUUCACACGUCAUACAAUGGUCGGUACAGAGGGUUGCCAAGCCGCGAGGUGGAGCCAAUCCCAGAAAACCGAUCGUAGUCCGGAUCGCAGUAUGCAACUCGACUGCGUGAAGUCGGAAUCGCUAGUAAUCGCGGAUCAGAAUGCCGCGGUGAAUACGUUCCCGGGUCUUGUACACACCGCCCGUCACACCAUGGGAGUGGGUUGUACCAGAAGUGAAUAGUCUAACCGCAAGGAGGACGGUCACCACGGUAG